GACGAACGCUGGCGGCGUGCUUAACACAUGCAAGUCGAACGGAAAGGCCCUGCUUUUGUGGGGUGCUCGAGUGGCGAACGGGUGAGUAACACGUGAGUAACCUGCCCUUGACUUUGGGAUAACUUCAGGAAACUGGGGCUAAUACCGGAUAGGAGCUCCUGCUGCAUGGUGGGGGUUGGAAAGUUUCGGCGGUUGGGGAUAGACUCGCGGCUUAUCAGCUUGUUGGUGGGGUAGUGGCUUACCAAGGCUUUGACGGGUAGCCGGCCUGAGAGGGUGACCGACCACAUUGGGACUGAGAUACGGCCCAGACUCCUACGGGAGGCAGCAGUGGGGAAUAUUGCACAAUGAGCGGAAGCCUGAUGCAGCAGCGCCGCGUGCGGGAUGACGGCCUUCGGGUUGUAAACCGCUUUCGCCUGUGACGAAGCGUGAGUGACGGUAAUGGGUAAAGAAGCACCGGCUAACUACGUG
rnacentral:rRNA from 1 species